rnacentral:tRNA from 1 species
AGCAGCGUGGCUCAGUGGAAAGAGCACAGGUUUUGGAGUCAGAGUUCAUGGGUUUGAAUCCCAUCUCUGCCA